rnacentral:rRNA from 1 species
UACGUAUGGUGCAAGCGUUAUCCGGAUUUACUGGGCGUAAAGGGAGCGCAGGCGGUGCGCCAAGUCUGAUGUGAAACCCCGGGGCUCAACCCCGGGCGUGCAUUGGAAACUGGCGGGCUGGAGUGCCGGAGAGGUAAGCGGAAUUCCUAGUGUAGCGGUGAAAUGCGUAGAUAUUAGGAGGAACACCAGUGGCGAAGGCGGCUUACUGGACGGCAACUGACGCUGAGGCUCGAAAGCGUGGGGAGCAAACAGG